UAAAUAAUUGUAUUUAAAAAUGCGACAUAUGUAUGUAUGUACAAAUAAGCACACAAAAUGUACGCGUGAGAAUAAUAAAACAGCACACAAACCAGCUAGCACACAUGGUUUUUUUUUCUGGCUCAACAGGCGACCAAAUUUUCACAGUCCGUUGGACUUCCCCCUAAAUUUUGGUGGCCCAGUCAGAUAUUGCUUGUGACUCUUUUGUGACCUGGUGAAAUAAAGAGCAUUCAGUGUAGAGAGAACCGUAGAAGAGAAAUUAAGGGCCAUAGGCAAGAAAGACGGGGAACGAAAACGUGGAAGAGACGGGAGGGGAAUUUUCAUUUCAAAACUCAGAUCAAAUUGCUAAAUUAACAGCGAGACAAACGAAAGCGAGCGCCCUUAGAGGAACUUGUUUUGACUUCCUUUCCUUUCCCGCUUUCGGGCCCCCCAGAAAUCACAGCAAGCCAGAACGUUUGAACGCGAUGGAGAACGCAGAGUUAAACAAAUUUUAAACUGGUUGUUGAACUGGAAUCCGCGAAGAAAGAGAAGAGGGCAGCAAGCGCAAGGGGGCAAGUGGGAACUACACAGAUGGGCUGUGUGAAACGGUGUUUUAAACUUGCAUCCCACUCCAUCCCGCACGGGGUUAACGGUUAUUAUGAGGGCGAGUGAGAGUUCUGACCGCUUAUCAGUAGUUAUUUUUUUUUUCCAAUCACGAAUACGCUUUUGAUUGACAAUCGCAACGGAAAAUCACAAAUCUGGUCCCUCUAUCAAGAUCAAAACAAAACAGUGUGCCAACAACUAUUCGCGGCAAAAGAGGGUAAACAGAACCGGGAAAAAUCAAAUAGAAUGAAAAAUGAAAUCGGAAUCUUGUCUAAAAAACAUCGGGGCGAUAAGUCGUCGGUCGAGUGGCAACAAAAUAAACACAAAGAGGAAAAACAAAAUACAGCAAUUAAAAGAUUAACAAAGCACGUCGGCAGCAACAACAACUAACCGAGAAAUCAAAGGAACAGAACGAAAAUGUUUUUUAUGCGUUUUAAAUUUCCCAAGCGAUAGAACAGCACACAAAAGUGCGUAAAAACAGAAUUGACCUUCAAAAAUUUAUUGCGCAAAAUAUAAAAACAAUGUGAUUAUCGCUCCGAUCCGAUGCAAUAAAAACAUUACCUAUUUCA